rnacentral:rRNA from 1 species
UACGCAGAGAUGCUUUGGUGCUAUAAAGAACUGUGAGACAGGUGCUGCAUAGGCUGUCGUCAGCUCGUGUUGUGAAAUGUUGGGUUAUGACCCGCAACCAAGCGCAAACCCCUAUCCCUUGUUGCCAGCCGGUUCGGCCGAGAACUCAAAGGAGACUGCCAGUGAUAAACUGGAGGAAGGUGGGGAUGACGUCAAGUCAUCAUGGCCCUUACGACCAGGGCUACACACGUGCUACAAUGGCAUAUACAAAGAGAAGCGACCUCGCGAGAGCAAGCGGACCUCAUAAAGUAUGUCGUAGUCCGGAUUGGAGUCUGCAACUCGACUCCAUGAAGUCGGAAUCGCUAGUAAUCGUAGAUCAGAAUGCUACGGUGAAUACGUUCCCGGGCCUUGUACACACCGCCCCUCACACCAUGGGAGUGGGUUGCAAAAGAAGUAGGUAGCUUAACCUUCGGGAGGGCGCCUACCACUCUGUGAUCAGACUGGGGGAAGUCGUAACAAGGUAACCUAAUCUAG